UUUAGGUCACUCUGAAAGUAAUACAUAGUUCAGACAUAAUGAGAGCUGAAAGUUGAGACUUUUUUAACAGCAUUCAGAGUCCCAAAGAGCCUGCUCUCUUUUCCCACUAGCCUCUUCAACUGUUUUGGCAGGAUUUUGGCGUAUGCUUCUUCCGCAAUGAAUGCAAGUGUUGGGAAGGAAAAAAAAAGAUAGCCGAUUUGCAAAGAGUGACAUAUGCAACAAGAAAAUACAAAACAAAAACCCCACAUGAUACGAGAAGGAGCUUACAACGUGAGAUCUCAAAACUUAAAAAAAUGAUUCUGAAUUAUUGAAACUUCAAUCAAGCCCUAAUGUAAUACUUGACCUUACAAUGGGCCAGAAAAAAACCCAGAUCAGAGCACUGCCA
rnacentral:lncRNA from 1 species